rnacentral:tRNA from 1 species
GGUGCUGUAGCUCAGUUGGUAGAGCAUUGGUCUGAAGAACCAAGUGUCAGAAGUUCGAAUCUUCUCAGCACCA